GCUGGGUGUGGUGGCGAGCGCCUGUAAUCCCAGCUACUUGGGAGGCUGAGGAACGAGAAUCGCUUGAACCUGGGAGGCAGAGGUUGCAGUGAGCCGAGAUUGUACCAUUGCACUCCAGCCUGGGUGACAAGAGCGAAACUCUAUCUCAAACAUACAUACAUACAUAAAUGUAGACUUAGGUGGAGAUUUUUUUCUUUUUAAGAGUUUUGCUCUUGUUGCCCAGGCUAGAGUGCAAUGGCGCGAUAUCGGCUCACCACAACCUCUGCCUCCCAGGUUCAAGCGAUUCUUCUGCCUCAG
rnacentral:SRP_RNA from 2 species